ACGCUGGCGGCAGGCUUAACACAUGCAAGUCGAACGGUAACAGGAAUUAGCUUGCUAAUUUGCUGACGAGUGGCGGACGGGUGAGUAAUGCUUGGGAAUCUGGCUUAUGGAGGGGGAUAACUACGGGAAACUGUAGCUAAUACCGCGUAAAAUCUUCGGAUUAAAGGGUGGGACUUUCGAGCCACCUGCCAUGAGAUGAGCCCAAGUGGGAUUAGGUAGUUGGUUAGGUAAAGGCUGACCAAGCCGACGAUCUCUAGCUGGUCUGAGAGGAUGACCAGCCACACUGGAACUGAGACACGGUCCAGACUCCUACGGGAGGCAGCAGUGGGGAAUAUUGCACAAUGGGGGGAACCCUGAUGCAGCCAUGCCGCGUGAAUGAAGAAGGCCUUCGGGUUGUAAAGUUCUUUCGGUGACGAGGAAGGUUGAUAGGUUAAUAGCCUAUCAAAUUGACGUUAAUCACAGAAGAAGCACCGGCUAACUCCGUGCCAGCAGCCGCGGUAAUACGGGGGGUGCGAGCGUUAAUCGGAAUAACUGGGCGUAAAGGGCACGCAGGCGGUGACUUAAGUGAGAUGUGAAAGCCCCGAGCUUAACUUGGGAAUUGCAUUUCAUACUGGGUCGCUAGAGUACUUUAGGGAGGGGUAGAAUUCCACGUGUAGCGGUGAAAUGCGUAGAGAUGUGGAGGAAUACCGAAGGCGAAGGCAGCCCCUUGGGAAUGUACUGACGCUCAUGUGCGAAAGCGUGGGGAGCAAACAGGAUUAGAUACCCUGGUAGUCCACGCUGUAAACGAUGUCGAUUUGGGGAUUGGGCUUUGAGCUUGGUGCCCGUAGCUAACGUGAUAAAUCGACCGCCUGGGGAGUACGGCCGCAAGGUUAAAACUCAAAUGAAUUGACGGGGGCCCGCACAAGCGGUGGAGCAUGU
rnacentral:rRNA from 1 species